CUUCUGGGGGAGUUAACACCCAGAGUCACAUCGGAUUCGGGUUGGAUCAGGAGCCAUUCAUCUGACCUCAUUUAUCAGGCAAACCCGGGUUCCCCGGUAUCCCGUCGUUUCCAGGGAUACCCUGAAAGAAGGAACUGAGGUUGAACUGAUAUGUUGCCAAUCAAGGGGUAACCACUCCCAUCUCCACCAGAGUCAAAGGGUCAGAGUCAAAAUGCAAUAAUGACCUCAUCAACGACGUGACCUUCGCCAUCGAGUUACCAUCACCACUCCUGAUGUCUUUGUUUCACCUUUGACUCUUGCAACACAGAUCACAUUAUUUGAAGGUCUGCUUCACUUACAUAUUCUAUCAAAUCAUAAAAUUGGGCUUUGCAAUAUUGUUUAGAUUAAUAUUUUAAACCGGACCUUCAAAUAACUGUUCAUGUCUUGACAGACAUUCCCAAAGCUUGCUCAGUUGCUUCCCACAUUGGUUAAAGCUCGAAGCACCAGGUGGUUAGUGCGUUCAUCAUUUGAUCCUGAUUCUCCAAACCUCCAAAUCUUAAACCAAACUAAUGCACACAUUCAAUUAGGAUUCCAUUCCAUUCUCUACAUGCAUAUUUUGAACUUUUUUUUCACCAUGAAGUUGCAAAGCACGUCAAAGCAUCGCCUUUCUGAAGUACCCCAGACGCUUAAGCUCAAAGCCUACAUGGUAGGCAGCUACUAGUUCAAUCCAGGCUGAUUGAACAGCUACUGAGUUGAACUGAAGAUUGACACCCCCUCACCAUCC